rnacentral:rRNA from 1 species
AACGAACGCUGGCGGCAUGCCUAACACAUGCAAGUCGAACGAGACCUUCGGGUCUAGUGGCGCACGGGUGCGUAACGCGUGGGAAUCUGCCCUUGGGUGCGGAAUAACAGUUAGAAAUGACUGCUAAUACCGCAUAAUGACUCCGGUCCAAAGAUUUAUCGCCCAGGGAUGAGCCCGCGUCGGAUUAGCUAGUUGGUAGGGUAAAAGCCUACCAAGGCAACGAUCCGUAGCUGGUCUGAGAGGAUGAUCAGCCACACUGGGACUGAGACACGGCCCAGACUCCUACGGGAGGCAGCAGUGGGGAAUAUUGGACAAUGGGCGAAAGCCUGAUCCAGCAGUGCCGCGUGAGUGAUGAAGGCCUUAGGGUUGUAAAGCUCUUUUACCCGGGAUGAUAAUGACAGUACCGGGAGAAUAAGCCCCGGCUAACUCCGUGCCAGCCGCCGCCGUAAGAC